GGCUUCUUGGUCUAGUGGCAUGAUUCUCGCUUUGGGUGCGAGAGGUCGGGGGUUCGAUUCCCCCAGAAGCCC
rnacentral:tRNA from 1 species